rnacentral:rRNA from 1 species
AGUGAACGCUGGCGGUAGGCCUAACACAUGCAAGUCGAACGGCAGCACAGGAGAGCUUGCUCUCUGGGUGGCGAGUGGCGGACGGGUGAGGAAUACAUCGGAAUCUACUCUGUCGUGGGGGAUAACGUAGGGAAACUUACGCUAAUACCGCAUACGACCUACGGGUGAAAGCAGGGGACCUUCGGGCCUUGCGCGAUUGAAUGAGCCGAUGUCGGAUUAGCUAGUUGGCGGGGUAAAGGCCCACCAAGGCGACGAUCCGUAGCUGGUCUGAGAGGAUGAGCAGCCACACUGGAACUGAGACACGGUCCAGACUCCUACGGGAGGCAGCAGUGGGGAAUAUUGGACAAUGGGCGCAAGCCUGAUCCAGCCAUACCGCGUGGGUGAAGAAGGCCUUCGGGUUGUAAAGCCCUUUUGUUGGGAAAGAAAUCCAGCUGGCUAAUACCCGGUUGGGAUGACGGUACCCAAAGAAUAAGCACCGGCUAACUUCGUGCCAGCAGCCGCCGUAAGAC